rnacentral:lncRNA from 1 species
CGCUGGCAUUACUGGACUUGGGGGCGGAGGGACUCAAGGAUGGCCUCAAUUGCGUCUGUCAAGCCGGGGUGAAACCUGGGGCGUUGCUUCUUUUUUUCCCAGUCUAAUUGGUUCUUUUACUACCAACGGGCAGAGUCUCCUGGUGGAGGCGGAAGGGCCAUUGCAAGAGAGAGCCACCACGCAGGAUGCACUGGGACCUGAGAACCGUCGGGCAGUCCCACGAGCUCUUUCAUGACCAGCUCCAACCGACAAGUACACGCCCCUUCGCACUCCACUAGCUAGUAAGCUGAGCUACAAGGUGUGCCAGGCACCCAGGACGCCGAUUCACCGCUUCAGUGAAGGCCCAGCUCAAAUGCCACCUCUUCCAUGAAGACUUCCGUGAUCCACAAUGAUAGCAUCUCCAGCAAUUGCUUCUAUAAUGAAUAGCAUGAGUCAUUCUGCAGGAUGUUGAUCUUCCUUUUUUUACUCCUAGACUGAAUUUUUCCACCACCUGGAUGAACAUAGCAGAAAGAACAUAGUGUUUUAGAGUCAGACACAAUAGGAAUCAGGCACUUUGGAAUCUUGGCUCUACCACCUUUGAGCUAUGUAUCCCAAGAGCCCUCUUUCUUCCAUUCACUUACCUGUCUAGUCAAACACCCAUCAGACCUUUGCCAGGUGUCCAGCCUGGGCACUACGUUUCAGAAAAUGAUGCACAUAGAAUCCCUAACUGAAAGGAGAUCGCAGCUCAUUUGGUACAAAGUGGUAACGGCAGAGUCCCAAAACACAUGAAGCAAGAACUGACAGAACUGGAGGGAGACAUCAAUCAAUAACAACAGUUGGAGAAUUCAAUACCCUGCUCUGAAUAAUGGAUAGAACAAUUAGGCAGAAGACCAACAAAGAAAGAGGAUAUUUGAACAACGUGAUAAGCCAAUUUGACCUAAUAAAUAUCUUUAUCUGUGAAACACCCUAGCUUUUAGCCUGGGUAAGGAGCUGGAGAGAUGUGAAAAUGUGGAAAGCAAGCCUAAGUCGCAGUGUGGCCUAUGCCUGAGAGCCAUCUUCAGUGCCCCCUUGUGGCUGUAUCUGGGAACCACAGACAGAAUCAUGGAACUGACCAUCUUCAGUCUCAAAGUGCUGCCCUCACCACUACACCCAGGGGCAGGUGGUCUUCGGGGGAAAGGCGGUUCCAGUUCCUUCUCCCAAGGUAACAACUCCCAUCCCAAGGCAAUGUUCACAGAACCUAUCAGAGUCCCCCCUGCCCUAUGCACAGCUUAAGACCAGGGUGGUCUCAGCUCUGAUCAGGCCACUGAGGGCAUCUGUCUGAGAUUUGGGACCCAGUUAUUGUCCCUGUUCUUCUUAGGCAGAUGGCGGAGUUCCCCAGUACACAGAAGGUGCUCACUCUUCACAAAAAGCAGUGCUUGAGAAUAACAGCCUACCUUGGUGGAGUAGCUUCGUUAGGGCCAGGGCUUGACUUGAAGCCAGAGACUGAGGUUGCAGUCCAGCCUUGGGUCAGCCUCAGGCUGGGGCUGGGGUGAUGCUGAGACCCUCACCAGAAAAAAGGCCUUUACCCCAUCCGAAAGGAAAUGGCUAUCCUCUGACCUGAGCACUCUAGCCUGAGGCCUGCCUGGCGCUAGAAGCCAGCCUCUGUUGUCCCCUCCCAGCACUCCUCCCACUGCUCUGCCUUUCUGCCCACAUAGAAACUCUGGAGACACCAGCUCCCCACCCUUCCAAGCUAAGCCCCACUGCUGUCUCUGCCUCCUCCAUCUUUCAAACCGGCAAUGUUUUUCCAAUCAGGCCUCCCUAUCCUUCCCCUACUGCUCUGCCCUUCACUGCCUUCCUUUCCUGGCGACUCUCAGCCGCCCUUCAAGGCCCAGCUCAGGCGUUCUUUCCUCAGUGACGCACCCCCGGGCAGGCUGGGGCUUCUGGCACAGCUCUGGCCACCCUGCGUAUCUUCAGCUGUUCCCAAUGUUUGUCUCUGCUCCCAAGUAGCUCUCUCACAGUUUCUGGCACAGAGGAGUUGGCCCUGAGGGGGAUGAACAGCAAGGACAGGCAGGACAGUUCUGGCAGUAAGGAAGUUAGAACAAGGUCCUUUGGUCUCGGCUAGGAAGGGUUCCCAGGUGCUUAGUACUCACUGAACAGAAAGGAAUUAGAAAAGAGGUGGCAUCUUGUAAUCGCUAGGGUGACAGCAGGCCAGGCCUCUGCCUUUUUGGUAGAGCUGAGGCCAGGGGCAGGGAACACAGCUUGAGUGACCCAUAAGGAGCCUUCCAGCUCAGCCACCCAAGGGCCCCCCAGCUGGACAGGAGCCCUUUACCACAUGGUAGGCAUCAUGUCAAGUGGCUCCCAAUGACCCCUGCCCCCUGGCAUCCAUUCCCUGGUGUAAUCCCCUCCCGUCCAGUGGGAGCUGGACCGAGCAAUGUUCAUUUAAUGAACAGAAUAUGGCAAAAGUGACAGGAUAUCACUUCCCAGGUUAGGUUAUAAGGGCCUGGGACUUCCGUCUUGCUCGCACACUUCACUCCACUCACUGGCUCUUCUUGCUAAGUAAGCUGGUGUGCCGUGAGCUACCCCAUGGAAAGGCCCAUGUGGCAAGGAACUGAAAGUGGCCUCUGUCAACAGCCAGUGAGGAAGUCAAUCCUGCGAACAACUGCAGGAACGGCCUUGGGAGUGGAUCCUUCCUCAGCCCGGCUCCAAGACAACUGCAGCCCUGUGAGAAACCCUGAGUGGAGGACCAAGCCAAGCCUCAAAUCGUGACUUGGAACUGGGAGACAACAGAUGCUGUUGGAAGCCACUGAGCUCUGAAGUAGUUUGUUACACAGUGACAGGUAACUUACACACCAUGGCAGGGUCAUGUGGGCCAAAGGUGCAAGGGGCUAGAGGGCUCAGAGGGCAGCCAGCUGGGGACCCAGUCUUCCCCAGGUGUCAGCAGCAGAUGCAGAUGCAGCCCCAGCAAUAACUCAUAGAGGAUUCUCACUUUCAUUUAUUUUCAAGGCAUAUACAAAAGUCUGACAUGGUGCAAUGAUCUCAUCAAGAGAUAACAGAACACACAGGAGAGGGUUGGGUUUCCUCCCCGGCCCAACCCCCUCAGGAAGGCACAGAAAAGUGAGGCUUGGGUUCGGGGGCCACCUGCUUUGGAACUAAUCUGCUGCUCAGAAGGCCAGGCCCCUUCUGAAGAGGGAUCUCUUCCUCACAUCCAGAAUCUAGGAUCUGGGGAAGGUAAACUGAGGCCACCAGUAAGCAUGUGCUCCAGGCCAAGGCUGAGUCUGUGCUGCAUCCAUGUCAUCAGCCACCCAAGAAAAACCAGUUACUCCACCUAGCUCAUGGUGGCGGCAUCCUCCCUGCAAUGGUGCAUGGGGGGCAGUCCUUUCCCCUGCAGGGUGUCAUUGCCACCCCCAUCCUCAUCCUGGAGGCCAGUCCAGGCUCCGAUAUGAGUGACUAGGGGUGAGGUAGGGGUGGCAGAAGGGAGAUCAAACUGGAGCAUUCCAGAUGCCUACUACUGCCCUCACACAACGGGGCAACUGUGCUCUCCAACUCCUCCCCUUGGCAGAGAAACUGGUCCUGCAGUUUCAGGACUAGACGAGCGUGGGGUAGUGGCAAUAAAGGGGCUUGUAUGAGAAGUGGCUUUCGCCUCUCAUCCCUAGGGGCAAAAAGUGAAUCAUCUAACUGGUCCAAGUCACUAAUGGCAAUCCUUCUUCCCCAAGAAGACUGAGUUUCCUUUGUCACUUCAGGAAGGGAAGAA